GAACGCGAAGAACCUUACCUGGGCUCGAACGGCUUUGGAAAAUCUUUGGAAACAGAGACUUCCCGCAAGGGACCGGAGUCGAGGUGCUGCAUGGCUGUCGUCAGCUCGUGUCGUGAGAUGUUGGGUUAAGUCCCGCAACGAGCGCAACCCUUGUCCUGUGUUGCCACCCCGCAAGGGAGCACUCUCAGGAGACCGCCAGCGAUAAGCUGGAGGAAGGUGGGGAUGACGUCAAGUCCUCAUGGCCUUUAUGUCCAGGGCUACACACGUGCUACAAUGGACGGUACAAAGCGCUGCAAACCCGCGAGGGGGAGCCAAUCGCAAAAAACCGUUCUUAGUUCGGAUCGCAGGCUGCAACUCGCCUGCGUGAAGCUGGAAUCGCUAGUAAUGGCGUAUCAGAAUGAUGCCGUGAAUACGUUCCCGGGUCUUGUACACACC
rnacentral:rRNA from 1 species